AGAUUGAUGAUGAUACCCAAAAAAACACUCCUUGGAAAAGCUCAACAAAAUGAGUGAGAACUCUAAACCGUCGUUCCCUUGCAUCUUGACUUU
ensembl:snoRNA SNORD116 Small nucleolar RNA SNORD116